rfam:Heligmosomoides polygyrus genome assembly, scaffold: HPBE_scaffold0002865
GCAUCGAUGGUUCAGUGGUAGAAUGCUCGCCUGUCAUGCGGGCGACCCGGGUUCGACUCCCGCCCGAUGCA